GAUGAACGCUGGCGGCGUGCCUAAUACAUGCAAGUCGAGCGAAUGGAUUAAGAGCUUGCUCUUAUGAAGUUAGCGGCGGACGGGUGAGUAACACGUGGGUAACCUGCCCAUAAGACUGGGAUAACUCCGGGAAACCGGGGCGAAUACCGGAGAACAUUUUGAACCGCAUGGUUCGAAAUUGAAAGGCGGCUUCGGCUGUCACUUAUGGAUGGACCCGCGUCGCAUUAGCGAGUUGGUGAGGUACCGGCUCACCAAGGCAACGAUGCGUAGCCGACCUGAGAGGGUGAUCGGCCACACUGGGACUGAGACACGGCCCAGACUCCUACGGGAGGCAGCAGUAGGGAAUCUUCCGCAAUGGACGAAAGUCUGACGGAGCAACGCCGCGUGAGUGAUGAAGGCUUUCGGGUCGUAAAACUCUGUUGUUAGGGAAGAACAAGUGCUAGUUGAAUAAGCUGGCACCUUGACGGUACCUAACCAGAAAGCCACGGCUAACUACGUGCCAGCAGCCGCAGUAA
rnacentral:rRNA from 1 species